UAAGACAGAGGGGGCAAGCGUUGCUCGGAAUUACUGGGCGUAAAGGGCGCGUAGGCGGGAUGGCAAGUCGGUCGUGAAAUCCUUCGGCUCAACCGAAGAACGUCGAUCGAUACUGCUGUUCUUGAGGGUUGCAGAGGAGACUGGAAUUCCCGGUGUAGCGGUGAAAUGUGUAGAGAUCGGGA
rnacentral:rRNA from 1 species